rnacentral:rRNA from 1 species
AAUCAACGCUGGCGGCGUGCCUCAGACAUGCAAGUCGAACGAUUAAAGCUCUCUUCGGAGAGUGUAUAGAGUGGCGCACGGGUGAGUAACACGUAAGUAAUCUACCCUCGGGUGGGAAGUAACAUCGGGAACCGAUGCUAAUACCGCAUAAUGCAGCGGCUCCUAAUGGAGACAGUUGUUAAAGGUAUUUAUUCGUCCUGAGGAGGAGCUUGCGGCAGAUUAGCUAGUUGGUAAGGUAAUGGCUUACCAAGG